GGAACGGAACUUCCCUUUGUGGAAGUUCCUGGAUCUUCCAGAGCCUGGGGAGUUUUCCUCUUCCUUGGAUUCCAGGAGAUAUGUUAAUAUUCUUUUAAUAAAUGCCUUUUUUGUGUAGAAAUGCUUGUUUGGUUUCUGAUAGUUGUAACCUAAAAAAUCUUUAGUAAGCCAUUGGUCUGCUGUGGGGAGCGUCGAGAUGAAACUGGAACGUUGUUUGAACCUAGAUCAUAAAGUGACUCCAACAUCUUCAUACCAGGGAGAGGAGGAAGCUGUGCUGUGAAGGAUCCUUUUUCAUCAUGAUUAUUGCAUCCACAGAAGCAGUGAUAAAUUCUAACAGAUAAUGCAACUCAGUCUACUUGGAUGUUCACACCUGAGACUGGAGAAGACCUGCUGCCUUCUGCAGAGCCAAACAUUCCUCACAUGCUCCUCCACAAUGCUCCUUACACUGGUCUACCUAAAGAAAACCUCUACAGACAAAGGAGAUGAGCCCAGCAUGGCUUGUUUACAGUGAAUCUAAGCAGAUUCCUCAUCUGUUCUGGGAUACGUGCGUCGAGAUUGCCAGACUGUGGAUAAAAUCUCCCCUCAUGAGUUUUUGCUUCUUUUGGGAGUGUCAGCAUCUAGCCAGCCUCCAUCGGUUGAACUUAGGUGGGAACAGAUCAAAGGCUCAUGGGAAAUGGGCAUGGAACUCCCCACCGUCCGAUGCCAAGUGGUGACCAGAACAGAUGGGAGCAGAAUGAUAAGCACAGCAUCCCACAUCAAUGGAUACUUAUUUGGAAGUAACUGAAGUGGAAAGGUCAGGAUAAAAUGUCAGCAUCUCUGUGUGGGUGAAAAUAUGUCUGAGAAACUAACUUCGCUCCAAGAAAUAUGAAGGCAAAGGGGAAUGCCUUGGAAUCAAAGAGAAGACACUUUCAGUGCCUUUAUCCCAGCUGAAUGUACUCUUAGACUCCCUAAACCUGAUUAAAGUUUUCUCUUACCCU
rnacentral:lncRNA from 10 species